ACCCAUCAUUGUCCAGGGGUUUGAGAGAAGGCCUUUUAUUACUGUAUUUCUUUUCCCUUUCCUCAAAGAAACCUCCACCCAGCUCGGGUGCCAGUGCAGCUGAGGACCAGCCUAAUCCUGCCACACUCACUGCUGCAGAAGGUGCAAGGAAAGCUUUGUUACUUCGUGGGGGCUGAUGAGCAGAAGCACAAGAGGCUCAGAACUGCCGGGAGGGAGGGUUGAUCGCUACUGGAACCAGCUGUUAGCUCCAGGUGGUAGGGCUUCCCCAGGUGAGACGCGUGAUGGGCCAGGCAGGAGGCUACAAAAAGGGGCUGGAUGGCAGGUUCUUGGUUUUGGAUGGGAAAGGACCGGUGAGGAAGAUGGGGGCUGUCUUCUUUUAGCUGGGUUUUCACCAGAGCAGCGGAGCUUUGAUUCAAAGCGUUGCAGAGAAAAGAAUAAUUAUACUGCCACCGCUUCCCCGAACUGCAUUUGUGUCAGCAACACACCCGUGAUAAAUCCCUGUCAGGCUGAAAAAAGGCACCCCUCAGCAGCGGUGAUUAUAGCGUUUAAUCACCUGCUGUUGGUAGGAGGCCUCCGUGUGACACUGUCCGGCCAGGCGCGCUGCCAGCCGCCGUGAUUUAGUUACCUCUUCACAGGAGAAACUAAUUCAAGAGACGGAUUGCUGAAGGGACCCUCCGUGUGAAACAUGAAUCAUUCUUUAAUCACAGCCUACCCUGGGCGAAAGAGCACGGCUCCCCGUCACCGGCAGGGAGAGGAGGGCU
rnacentral:lncRNA from 1 species